GAGGUUGUGGCUCAGUCGGUAGAGCACUUGCCUAGCAUGUGUGAGGCUCUGGGUUUGAUUCUCAGCACCACA
rnacentral:tRNA from 1 species